UUUUUUAGACUCUUAAUUUCUUUUUCUAGGAUGAACUCUUAGGGUGUGUUUGAGGAGAAGGGGAUUGAGGAGAUUGGGGAG
rnacentral:pre_miRNA from 19 species